UACGAAGGGGGCUAGCGUUGUUCGGAUUUACUGGGCGUAAAGCGCACGUAGGCGGAUCUUUAAGUCAGAGGUGAAAUCCCAAGGCUCAACCUUGGAACUGCCUUUGAUACUGGAGAUCUUGAGUCCGGGAGAGGUGAGUGGAACUGCGAGUGUAGAGGUGAAAUUCGUAGAUAUUCGCAAGAACACCAGUGGCGAAGGCGGCUCACUGGCCCGAUACUGACGCUGAGGCACGAAGGCGUGGGGAGCAAACAGG
rnacentral:rRNA from 1 species